AUGGACCCAAGUGAGAUUUUGAAUGUUCGGUUUCAUAUUGGAGGGAAGUUCAUCCGCAUUGGUCCAAAUUUGGACUAUGUUGGGGGAGAUCAAGCAAUGUCAGAGAUUGAGAGGGAUAAACUUUCACUGCAGGAAGUGAAAGGCUAUUUAAAAGAUCAUACUCAGUUGAUGGAAUCAAUGAAGUUCUAUUUUCUGCUUCCUGGAAAAGAGCUUAUCAAUGGCUUGGUGUUCCUUCAUGAUGAUAGUUCGUGUGUGAAGAUGUCUGACUACAUUUGUGUUGGAGGAGUUGCUGAUGUGUAUGUGGAGUAUCAUGGAGAGGAAGAUAGCAAUGACAGCAGCAGUAGUGGGAGUGAUUUUGAGGAUGAACUCAUGGAAUAGAGUGAUGAUGAUGAACUAGAUGCAGUUAUAACUGCUGAAGAACUAGAUGCAGUUAUAACUGCAGAAGAACCAGUGCCAGUAAGUGCUGUUGAACCUGUAGAGUCUGACACUGAUGUGAUCAAUGUAUUUUUUAUGUACUUCUCUAUAGCAGUAGCGCGUUUUGGCUGA
rnacentral:rRNA from 1 species